CCUACGGGUGGCAGCAGUGGGGAAUCUUGCACAAUGGGGGAAACUCUGAUGCAGCGACGCCGCGUGAGCGAUGAAGUAUUUCGGUAUGUAAAGCUCUAUCAGCAGGGAAGAAAAUGAAGGUAACUGACUGAGAAGCCCCGGCGAAAAACGUGCCAGCAGCCGAGGUAAUACGAAGGGGGCAAGCGUGAUCCGGAAUGACUGGGGGUAAAGGGAGCGUAGACGGCUGUGCAAGACAGAUGUGAAAGCCAGGGGCUCAACCCCGUGACUGCAUUUGGAACUGUGUGGCUGGAGUGUCGGAGAGGCGGGCGGAAUUCCAAGUGUAGCGGUGAAAUGCGUAGAUAUUAGGAGGAACACCAGUGGCGAAGGCGGCCUGCUGGACGGUAACUGACGUUGAAGCUCGAAAGCGUGGGGAGCAAACAGGAUUAGAUACCCUUGUAGUC
rnacentral:rRNA from 1 species